GUUUUUUUGGAGACAUCCGAUAAAAUUGGAACGAUACAGAAAAGAUUAGCAUGACCCCUGAGCAAGAUGACACGCAAAAAUCAAGAAAUGGUCCAAAUUUUU
rnacentral:snRNA from 1 species